UACAGAGGUGGCAAGCGUUGUUCGGAAUUACUGGGCGUAAAGGGCUCGUAGGCGGCCAACUAAGUCAGACGUGAAAUCCCUCGGCUUAACCGGGGAACUGCGUCUGAUACUGGAUGGCUUGAAUCCGGGAGAGGGAUGCGGAAUUCCAGGUGUAGCGGUGAAAUGCGUAGAUAUCAGGAAGAACACCUAUGGCGAAGGCAGCUCUCUGGGACGGUACUGACGCUGAGACGCGAAAGCGUGGGGAGCGAACAGG
rnacentral:rRNA from 1 species